UCUUUUCCUUUUGUGCCCGCAGCCGCGGUAAUACGUAGGGAGCAAGCGUUGUCCGGAUUUACUGGGUGUAAAGGGUGCGUAGGCGGCUUUGCAAGUCAGAUGUGAAAUCUAUGGGCACAACCCAUAAACUGCAUUUGAAACUGUAGAGCUUGAGUGAAGUAGAGGCAGGCGGAAUUCCCCGUGUAGCGGUGAAAUGCGUAGAGAUGGGGAGGAACACCAGUGGCGAAGGCGGCCUGCUGGGCUUUAACUGACGCUGAGGCACGAAAGCGUGGGUAGCAAACAGG
rnacentral:rRNA from 1 species